AUUGAACGCUGGCGGCAUGCCUUACACAUGCAAGUCGAACGGUAACAGGUCUUCGGAUGCUGACGAGUGGCGAACGGGUGAGUAAUACAUCGGAACGUGCCUAGUAGUGGGGGAUAACUACUCGAAAGAGUGGCUAAUACCGCAUGAGAUCUACGGAUGAAAGCAGGGGAUCGCAAGACCUUGUGCUACUAGAGCGGCCGAUGGCAGAUUAGGUAGUUGGUGGGAUAAAAGCUUACCAAGCCGACGAUCUGUAGCUGGUCUGAGAGGACGAUCAGCCAUACUGGGACUGAGACACGGCCCAGACUCCUACGGGAGGCAGUAGUGGGGAAUUUUGGACAAUGGGCGAAAGCCUGAUCCAGCAAUGCCGCGUGCAGGAUGAAGGCCUUCGGGUUGUAAACUGCUUUUGUACGGAACGAAAAGCCCCGGGUUAAUACCCUGGGGUCAUGACGGUACCGUAAGAAUAAGCACCGGCUAACUACGUGCCAGCCGCCGCAGUAA
rnacentral:rRNA from 1 species